UACGGGGGGGGCAAGCGUUGUUCGGAAUUACUGGGCGUAAAGGGCUCGUAGGUGGCCAACUAAGUCAGACGUGAAAUCCCUCGGCUUAACCGGGGAACUGCGUCUGAUACUGGAUGGCUUGAGUUCGGGAGAGGGAUGCGGAAUUCCAGGUGUAGCGGUGAAAUGCGUAGAUAUCUGGAGGAACACCGGUGGCGAAGGCGGCAUCCUGGACCGACGCGUGACCGCUGAGGAGCGAAAGCCAGGG
rnacentral:rRNA from 1 species